rnacentral:rRNA from 1 species
ACUCCUACGGGGAGGNAGCAGUGGGGGAAUUUUGGACAAGGGCGAAAGCCUGAUCCAGCAAUGCCGCGUGUGUGAAGAAGGCCUUCGGGUUGUAAAGCACUUUUGUCCGGAAAGAAAUCCCUGGCUCUAAUACAGUCGGGGGAUGACGGUACCGGAAGAAUAAGCACCGGCUAACUACGUGCCAGCAGCCGCGGUAAUACGUAGGGUGCAAGCGUUAAUCGGAAUUACUGGGCGUAAAGCGUGCGCAGGCGGUUUGCUAAGACCGAUGUGAAAU